GGCAGGUGGGAGGAGACGAAGCCCCCUGAGGUCUCUGCCAGCCCCUUCCCACCCCAGCCUGCUUCUCAUCUGCAAAAGGUGGGAGCUGCUAGCACAGUUCUGUCAAGAUCUUGCACUCAGCAGUGAGCUGGGCUCCGGGUCCUGUGACCUGUUUCUUGCCUUCUCACCUAACUCGACCAUUCUUCUUUUUCUGAAUCAUUAAAUUUCGGGUGCAACAUAAUUUCUGAUCAUAAUCCAUUGUUUAACGUGACUGAUGCUUUUUCAUUUAAAUAUCAAUAGUAACAGAAUGCUUGGACAUCGGACAUAAAAUCUACUAUCUUCAAUUUUUUGGGCGGUGCUGGGUAUUGAAUCCAGGGGUGCUCUACCACUGAGCUACACCCCAGCCCAUUUAUUUAUUUAACUUUUGAGACAGGGUCUUGCUAAGUUGCCCAGGCUGACCUCCAACUUGUGAUCCUCCUGCCUCAGCCUCCCCAGUCACUGGGAUUACAGGUGUGUUCCACUGAGCCUGGCCACUGUUUUUAAUUGUACAGUCUAGCACUGUCAAGAAGAUUCACUCUUAAGAUUUUUUUUUUUUAUCUUACAAAACUGAAAGCCAAUUCCUUUUUGAUAUCUAGGCUGUUUACACUGAGAAAAAAUAUUUUUAAUGAUGUUUAGGGUAGGGGGGGGCUCCUGGAUCACAGAACCUACCUCAAUGCUCUCUUCGGGACAUAUUGUCAGAGGUGGGAAUUUGGGCUCAGGGACUUCCUGCCUGGAGCCCUGCCGUGGACAUGGCCCAGCACAUGAACGCGGGGGGCAGACUGACCCUGGAGCCCAUGCCCCCUCCCAUGAGCAUCUGCUCACUUUUCAAGGUGUGGGCGCGCAAGGUUCAGCAACCCCGUCACGAGUUCUGGUCGUCCCCACGCCCUCUCGCGAGCCAGUGGUGUGGCCGGAGUGGGCGACAGACCCCUUCCCCUAUUCCCCAGUCUUUUUUCUUU
rnacentral:lncRNA from 1 species